rnacentral:rRNA from 1 species
GCAGUAGGGAAUCUUCCACAAUGGACGAAAGUCUGAUGGAGCAACGCCGCGUGAGUGAAGAAGGUUUUCGGAUCGUAAAACUCUGUUGUUGGAGAAGAAUGUAUCUGAUAGUAACUGAUCAGGUAGUGACGGUAUCCAACCAGAAAGCCACGGCUAACUACGUGCCAGCAGCCGCGGUAAUACGUAGGUGGCAAGCGUUGUCCGGAUUUAUUGGGCGUAAAGCGAGCGCAGGCGGUUUCUUAAGUCUGAUGUGAAAGCCUUCGGCUCAACCGAAGAAGUGCAUCGGAAACUGGGAAACUUGAGUGCAGAAGAGGACAGUGGAACUCCAUGUGUAGCGGUGAAAUGCGUAGAUAUAUGGAAGAACACCAGUGGCGAAGGCGGCUGUCUGGUCUGUAACUGACGCUGAGGCUCGAAAGCAUGGGUAGCAAACAGGAUUAGAUACCCUGGUAGUCCAUGCCGUAAACGAUGAGUGCUAGGUGUUGGAGGGUUUCCGCCCUUCAGUGCCGCAGCUAACGCAUUAAGCACUCCGCCUGGGGAGUACGACCGCAAGGUUGAAACUCAAAGGAAUUGACGGGGGCCCGCACAAGCGGUGGAGCAUGUGGUUUAAUUCGAAGCAACGCGAAGAACCUUACCAGGUCUUGACAUCCUUUGACCACUCUAGAGAUAGAGCUUUCCCUUCGGGGACAAAGUGACAGGUGGUGCAUGGUUGUCGUCAGCUCGUGUCGUGAGAUGUUGGGUUAAGUCCCGCAACGAGCGCAACCCUUAUUACUAGUUGCCAGCAUUUAGUUGGGCACUCUAGUGAGACUGCCGGUGACAAACCGGAGGAAGGUGGGGACGACGUCAAAUCAUCAUGCCCCUUAUGACCUGGGCUACACACGUGCUACAAUGGAUGGUACAACGAGUUGCGAGACCGCGAGGUUUAGCUAAUCUCUUAAAACCAUUCUCAGUUCGGAUUGUAGGCUGCAACUCGCCUACAUGAAGCCGGAAUCGCUAGUAAUCGCGGAUCAGCAUGCCGCGGUGAAUACGUUCCCGGGCCUUGUACACACCGCCCGUCACACCAUGAGAGUUUGUAACACCCAAAGCCGGUGAGGUAACCCUUCGGGGAGCCAGCCGUCUAAG